rnacentral:rRNA from 1 species
CCUACGGGGGGCUGCAGUGGGGAAUAUUGGACAAUGGGGGCAACCCUGAUCCAGCCAUGCCGCGUGUGUGAAGAAGGCCCUCGGGUUGUAAAGCACUUUCAGUGAGGAAGAACGCCUGGUGGUUAAUACCCAUCAGGAAAGACAUCACUCACAGAAGAAGCACCGGCUAACUCCGUGCCAGCAGCCGCGGUAAUACGGAGGGUGCGAGCGUUAAUCGGAAUUACUGGGCGUAAAGCGCGCGUAGGUGGCUUGAUAAGCCGGUUGUGAAAGCCCCGGGCUCAACCGGGGAACGGCAUCCGGAACUGUCAAGCUAGAGUGCAGGAGAGGAAGGUAGAAUUCCCGGUGUAGCGGUGAAAUGCGUAGAGAUCGGGAGGAAUACCAGUGGCGAAGGCGGCCUUCUGGACUGACACUGACACUGAGGUGCGAAAGCGUGGGUAGCAAACAGGAUUAGAUACCCUAGUAGUC